rnacentral:rRNA from 1 species
CCAGACUCCUACGGGAGGCAGCAGUGGGGAAUAUUGCACAAUGGGGGAAACCCUGAUGCAGCGACGCCGCGUGAAGGAUGAAGUAUUUCGGUAUGUAAACUUCUAUCAGCAGGGAAGAAAAUGACGGUACCUGACUAAGAAGCCCCGGCUAACUACGUGCCAGCAGCCGCGGUAAUACGUAGGGGGCAAGCGUUAUCCGGAUUUACUGGGUGUAAAGGGAGCGUAGACGGCAUGGCAAGUCUGAAGUGAAAGCCCGUGGCCCAACUGCGGGACUGCUUUGGAAACUGCCCGGCUAGAGUGCUGGAGAGGUAAGCGGAAUUCCUAGUGUAGCGGUGAAAUGCGUAGAUAUUAGGAGGAACACCAGUGGCGAAGGCGGCCUACUGGACGGUGACUGACGCUGAGGCUCGAAAGCGUGGGGAGCAAACAGGAUUAGAUACCCCCGUA